ACGCCUUAUACAUGCAAGUCGAACGCAGUAGCAAUACUGAGUGGCAGACGGGUGAGUAUAAUGUGGGAAUCUGCCUUUUGGUUUGGAAUAACUCGGGGAAACUUGAGCUAAUACCGGAUAAGCCCUUACGGGGAAAGCUUUACGCGCCAAAAGAUGAGCCCGCACUUGAUUAGCUUGUUGGUGAGGUAAUGGCUCACCAAGGCAACGAUCAAUAGCUGUUCUUAGAGGAAGACCAGCCACAUUGGGACUGAGACACGGCCCAGACUCCUACGGGAGGCAGCAGUAAGGAAUCUUGCACAAUGGGGGAAACCCUGAUGCAGCGAUGCCGCGUGAGUGAAGAAGGCCUUUGGGUUGUAAAACUCUUUCGUCGGGGAAGAAAAUGACUGUACCCGAAUAAGAAGGUCCGGCUAACUUCGUGCCAGCAGCCGCGGUAAUACGAAGGGACCUAGCGUAGUUCGGAAUUACUGGGCUUAAAGAGCUCGUAGGUGGUUAAAAAAGUUGAUGGUGAAAUCCCAAGGCUCAACCUUGGAACUGCCAUCAAAACUCUUUAGCUAGAGUGUGAUAGAGGAAAGUGGAAUUUCUAGUGUAGAGGUGAAAUUCGUAGAUAUUAGAAAGAACACCAAAAGCGAAGGCAACUUUCUGGAUCAUUACUGACACUGAGGAGCGAAAGCAUGGGUAGCGAAGAGGAUUAGAUACCCUCGUAGUCCAUGCUGUAAACGAUGUGUGCUAGACGUUGGAAAUUUAUUUUUCAGUGUCGCAGCAAAAGCGUUAAGCACACCGCCUGGGGAGUACGACC
rnacentral:rRNA from 1 species